rnacentral:rRNA from 1 species
ACCCGCUGAACUUAAGCAUAUCAAUAAGCGGAGGAAAAGAAACCAACAGGGAUUGCCUCAGUAACGGCGAGUGAAGCGGCAAAAGCUCAAAUUUGAAAUCUGGCUCUUUCAGGGUCCGAGUUGUAAUUUGUAGAAGAUGCUUCGGGUGUGGUCCCGGUCUAAGUUCCUUGGAACAGGACGUCAUAGAGGGUGAGAAUCCCGUAUGUGACUGGGUACCUACGCUCAUGUGAAGCUCUUUCGACGAGUCGAGUUGUUUGGGAAUGCAGCUCAAAAUGGGUGGUAAAUUUCAUCUAAAGCUAAAUAUUGGCCAGAGACCGAUAGCGCACAAGUAGAGUGAUCGAAAGAUGAAAAGCACUUUGGAAAGAGAGUUAAACAGUACGUGAAAUUGUUGAAAGGGAAGCGUUUAUGACCAGACUUGGACUUGGUUAAUCAUCUGGGGUUCUCUCCAGUGCACUUUUCCAGUUCAGGCCAGCAUCAGUUUUCGCCGGGGGAUAAAGGCAGCGGGAAUGUGGCUCUCUUCGGGGAGUGUUAUAGCCCGCUGUGUAAUACCCUGGUGGGGACUGAGGUUCGCGCUUCUGCAAGGAUGCUGGCGUAAUGGUCAU